GUGCUCCCCCGCCAAUUCCUUCAGCGCUUUGAUGAGCCGCUGAUUGUCGCGCUGAUGAAGCCCGAUGCUCGGUUCAUCGAGUAUGUAAGUGAUGCCAACCAACUGCGAUCCGAUCUGCGAGGCAAGGCGUAUCCGCUGCGACUCCCCUCCCGAAAGCGAACGCGAUGGCCGGUUGAGCGUGAGGUAUUCAAGUCCCACAUCCAGCAGGAAUCCGAUCCGCGACCGGAUCUCUUUGAUCACUUCUUUUCCGAUCGUCCAUUGUUUUUCCGAGAGAUCUUUCUUCAGAUCAGCGAACCAGUCGCGGAGAUCUGAAAUGCUCAGAGCUGAAAGCUCCGCAAUGUUCUUACCGGCAAUCCGGAAGAAUAAUGACUCCUUCUUUAGCCUGGUGCCCUGGCAAACCGGGCAAGUAACCAUAUCCAUAAAUUCUUCGGCUCAUCUUCGUAAACCAUCCGACGAAGUAUCGCGGUAGUACCGGUAAAUCAUGUUGAUCAAUCCUUCAAACCCGGUGGAAUACGACUGCUCGCCGAUGUCAUCAAACUGAAGGGAGAUGUUCACUUUCUCCUCUUUCGAUCCAUACAAAAUCAGGUUCAAUGCUUCCGGCGGGAUCAACCGGAG
rnacentral:rRNA from 1 species